GACGAACGCUGGCGGCGUGCUUAACACAUGCAAGUCGAACGGAAAGGCCCUGCUUGCAGGGUACUCGAGUGGCGAACGGGUGAGUAACACGUGGGUGAUCUGCCCUGCACUUCGGGAUAAGCCUGGGAAACUGGGUCUAAUACCGGAUAGGAACCAUUUUUAGUGUGAUGGUUGGAAAGUUUUUUCGGUGUAGGAUGAGCUCGCGGCCUAUCAGCUUGUUGGUGGGGUAAUGGCCUACCAAGGCGGCGACGGGUAGCCGGCCUGAGAGGGUGGACGGCCACAUUGGGACUGAGAUACGGCCCAGACUCCUACGGGAGGCAGCAGUGGGGAAUAUUGCACAAUGGGCGCAAGCCUGAUGCAGCGACGCCGCGUGGGGGAUGACGGCCUUCGGGUUGUAAACUCCUUUCGCUAGGGACGAAGCUUUUGUGACGGUAC
rnacentral:rRNA from 1 species